GGGUAUCCCAGAAGACAUCCUCCUGGCCCAAGUCUUCCAGAUUACUCUUUGGUUGUAUGUAUUCAAUACAUAAUCUUGUUUCUGCCAUGGGAACGUCCCUGCAUGUGUUUUUUUUUUUUGCCCGCUGAGGGUCCUUAAUACAGACCCCAUCUAAAAUCAACAGCAGCAGGACAACCGACUAUUUGUUUGGACAGACAAAGCUUAUGUUUCAGUGCAGUGCCUCACUAACCACCCAAAUUGAAUAGCUUUGAGUUGGUGACUUUGUAAGCUUCAUUGUUGUCAUUAACCAUUUACUCAGAUCCCAUCCGCCCAUCCAUUUGAUUUCCAGGUGGGCACAAAAUAACAGGAUGGCAGGCGUACCAUGGCAGUUCAACCAUUUGGUUUUUGCAAGAGCAAUCUCUUAUGCAUGUGUAUUGUGUAGUUAUUUGCAUGUAUCAAAAAAUGCAGUGAUAGCUAAGAAGGCAAUCGAUGGGGAUACAGUUUGCAGACUUUCUUCUGAUUCUUUGUCCAGAACUAGCACUGCAUUUGAAAAUCAACAAUGAAGAUCCACAGCAUACAUAUAUAUCUUGUGAACAUGCAGACAAAUCAUAUUUAGCAUUUGAAAAUCAAAUGCAUGCUAUAUAGGAUGACUGCAGCAACUAUAUUCAUGCAAACUCUUAUUUAAGAACAAUUUUCCUUCCACGUCAAGUUUAUGGACAUGCUUGCAUGGUACAAGUGAUCAUACAACUGAAUCAUUCCAAAAGAUGAGAUCAUGCAAACUGUUGAUGAAAUAUGGUCUCAGAAACAAGUUUGCAUACACAUCCAUUAAUGAGUUGCAUUUCAUCCAAGCUCACUAUCCUUUCACAUGUAUAUCAUUUCUCAUGAAGUUAAAGCUUUGGAUAAGACAUGCUCAACUGUAACAACUUGUUGUAAAGUUUUGAGCUCAUGAAAUUUGACAAUGAUGCUGAAUCACAUAUAACCUCCAGAUGUAUAAACUCGGCAUGAACAUGUAUGUGAAUACAAGCCUAGAAACAAGAUACGGCAACAUGACCCUUGUGCUAACUAGCAUGAAAGUAAUUACCUCAGAUGUAUGUACAUACUUCCGAACCACAAAAAAGUUCCAUUUCACAUGACACAUUUCCUCUUUACAUAACUUUUCAACAGAUUGUUGUUUCAUAGGCUUAAUACCACUCAUGUCAUAGCAGUAGAAUUUGCAAAGUUAGCAAAACAUGAUGUUAAGUAGGGACCAUAAAGCUAUGUAUUCAUCCAACUUCUUGCCAGCCCUAUCAGUAGCUUUCUAUCAAUUCCAAGAGUUACACAUUUGUUUUUACAUGGUUGUUUAUGUUUUUAUAUAUGAGUGGAUGAUGAUAUGCUUUGAAGACAAAAUAAAAUACCUACUGUUGUCAAAGAACAAAAGCUGGAACCUGCACUCCUGGAUUUUCCAACUGUCAAAUGAUUUAUCAAAAUGUCUAUCUCCACUAGAUUGCAGUUAGUGCCAAUAAGACUGCAAAAAAUGAGUAUGAUAGUUAUAGUUUGAACAAAAAAUCUGAGCUUUGAAAGUAGACAAGGGACAAUUAACUCAGGUCAAACUUGCAUUCACAUUUAGCAUAGAUAUUAAAUCAUAAUCCAAUUGGCGACAUAUGCAAUCCUAAUUUGAAA
rnacentral:lncRNA from 1 species